rnacentral:lncRNA from 1 species
ACACAUACGUACAUACGUAGGGUGGGGGUGUUGCCCAGUGGCAGAACCCUCUGGGUUAGAAACUGGAACUGUCCCAAAGCACCCCCAAUCCAAACCAUAGUGAAUGCACUAUAUUAUCACCCUGCCCCUCGCUGUUACUUAGGGUACAGGCUGCGGGUGGCUCUCUCCAGCUGGCGUGGGUGUGGGGCAGAGCUGGAAGUAACCCUGGUCUGGUCUCUGGUGUCCUUUCCUGUCCAUCUGGGUGUGGUAUUCCCACAGUGGGUCUACGGGCUUUGUGUUGCUCAAUUGGGCUGGGGGAUCGGUUUCCUGUGCACCCCCCCCACAACAAGGCAUCCUCGGUUUUGGCACUUCCUUUGCUGCUCUGGGCAGCACAAGUUGCUGGCAUCCCACCACCUUCCUGCCCACUGCGGCCAAGCCAGGAAACCAGAACGCCAGGCCUGCACUCCGGGACUCCACCAGCACCUGCAGUCACGAUGGGGCCCGGGACCCCUGAGCCUCCUCCUCCAUACCCCUAGUUCUGACGGCCAGCUUCCCAUUGGGAGACCAUCUCACCACUCCAUAGCAGAUCUUAAACAACGCAUUGCCAAGAUCCUCCCCCUCACUUGCAGCGAGCACCCUUGUCCCACUGUUUGCCUCUUUCUGGAGCAGUUCUGGAAGUCCUAUUUCCUGAGUGUCUGUGAGAGGUGGGAUCAGAAACAGAGAGUACUGCUGCUGAGCAGCCCAUCUGACAGAAAGGCUGCUCCUGAAAAUAUUGCAGUGUGUCUGCAUCUGCCUUGCUCACUGGAUCUGGCGCUGCUUCCCCAGAGUCAAAAGGACCAUGAGAGAGAAAUGUUUCCAAUCACUUCAAAGCGUGGAGGCGGGCACGGCUGUGCCUCCGAAGAUUCUGGCGGGAGUGGGGGGGGGCGACUUCCAGACCUGUGCGGAAGGGGCAAGAAGCAUGUUGGGGGCGGAGCUAUUUUGAGGGGAUUAAACAGAAUACCUUUUAUUGUAUUAAAAAUGUUUAAAUUUCAAUGUGCUCUUUUUAGAUCAUACCAAGUAUGUGUGUACAAUUACUUGCCACCUACCACUUUUAUUUUUACCACCAGUAGCAGCACAUUGCUACAGUUUGUGCCUUCCCCUUUCCUCCUCUAUCAUAAUGUAGCCAGCAGAAUAAUGCCCCCCAAACAGGUUCACAUCCUGAUCCCUGGAACUGGAGAACUGUUACCUUAAUGGCAAAAAGGACUCCACAGAUCCAAUUAAGGACCCAGAGACGAGGAGAUAUUUGUAACGUCCAGGGAGCCCCGUCUCACCUUUAAAAUCAGAGACUCUGCUGGCUGUGUCAGAGGGAUGUGUGACGGAUGGAUGCAGGGUUGCGGCAAAGGCAGAGUGGAUGGGGGAGGGACCACAGGCCAAGGAGCUGCAGGCAUAGGAGCUGGAAAAGUGUAGGAAGUGGAUUCUCCCUACAGCAUUCAGGAUGGAGCAGCCAGCCCGUGCUGGAUCUUUGCCGUCUCGAGACGCAUGUGACAGACUUCCAAUCUACCUAAUGCAUUUAUGUGAAAUGCAUAAAACAUAUGUGAGCUAAAUCUCUUACAAUCAGUCACCAGAACAACA